rnacentral:rRNA from 1 species
GACGAACGCUGGCGGCGUGCCUAAUACAUGCAAGUAGAACGCUGAAGAGAGGAGCUUGCUCUUCUUGGAUGAGUUGCGAACGGGUGAGUAACGCGUAGGUAACCUGCCUUGUAGCGGGGGAUAACUAUUGGAAACGAUAGCUAAUACCGCAUAACAAUGGAUGACACAUGUCAUUUAUUUGAAUGGGGCAAUUGCUCCACUACAAGAUGGACCUGCGUUGUAUUAGCUAGUAGGUGAGGUAACGGCUCACCUAGGCGACGAUACAUAGCCGACCUGAGAGGGUGAUCGGCCACACUGGGACUGAGACACGGCCCAGACUCCUACGGGAGGCAGCAGUAGGGAAUCUUCGGCAAUGGGGGCAACCCUGACCGAGCAACGCCGCGUGAGUGAAGAAGGUUUUCGGAUCGUAAAGCUCUGUUGUAAGUCAAGAACGAGUGUGAGAGUGGAAAGUUCACACUGUGACGGUAGCUUACCAGAAAGGGACGGCUAACUACGUGCCAGCAGCCGCGGUAAUACGUAGGUCCCGAGCGUUGUCCGGAUUUAUUGGGCGUAAAGCGAGCGCAGCGGUUUGAUAAGUCUGAAGUUAAAGGCUGUGGCUCAACCAUAGUUCGCUUUGGAAACUGUCAAACUUGAGUGCAGAAGGGGAGAGUGGAAUUCCAUGUGUAGCGGUGAAAUGCGUAGAUAUAUGGAGGAACACCGGUGGCGAAAGCGGCUCUCUGGUCUGUAACUGACGCUGAGGCUCGAAAGCGUGGGGAGCGAACAGGAUUAGAUACCCUGGUAGUCCACGCCGUAAACGAUGAGUGCUAGGUGUUGGAUCCUUUCCGGGAUUCAGUGCCGCAGCUAACGCAUUAAGCACUCCGCCUGGGGAGUACGACCGCAAGGUUGAAACUCAAAGGAAUUGACGGGGGCCCGCACAAGCGGUGGAGCAUGUGGUUUAAUUCGAAGCAACGCGAAGAACCUUACCAGGUCUUGACAUCCCGAUGCUAUUUCUAGAGAUAGAAAGUUACUUCGGUACAUCGGUGACAGGUGGUGCAUGGUUGUCGUCAGCUCGUGUCGUGAGAUGUUGGGUUAAGUCCCGCAACGAGCGCAACCCCUAUUGUUAGUUGCCAUCAUUCAGUUGGGCACCCUAGCGAGACUGCCGGUAAUAAACCGGAGGAAGGUGGGGAUGACGUCAAAUCAUCAUGCCCCUUAUGACCUGGGCUACACACGUGCUACAAUGGUUGGUACAACGAGUUGCGAGUCGGUGACGGCAAGCUAAUCUCUUAAAGCCAAUCUCAGUUCGGAUUGUAGGCUGCAACUCGCCUACAUGAAGUCGGAAUCGCUAGUAAUCGCGGAUCAGCACGCCGCGGUGAAUACGUUCCCGGGCCU